rnacentral:tRNA from 1 species
UUAGCUCAGUUGGUCAGAGCUACCGGCUCAUAACCGGUUGGUCCGGGGUUCGAGUCCCUGA